AGGACUCGGGACCCUGCCUGAAGCUGUUCCUUCCAUUGCUUCCAUCUACCUAACAGAAUAAAAAUGGUACAGAUUUGUACAAGCUAAACCACACAAAGAAGCCUGGGAAACUAAGAUUGGCUGUGGCAAACACCGUAAUUGCGGGUCUUGGAUCUGCAAGGCCCAUAGG